rnacentral:rRNA from 1 species
GACGAACGCUGGCGGCGUGCUUAACACAUGCAAGUCGAACGGGCCUUGUCCCCUUUUUUUUUGGGGGUGGGGUUAGUGGCGAACGGGUGAGUAACACGUGAGUAACCUGCCCCUCACUUCUGGAUAACCGCGUGAAAGGGUGGCUAAUACGGGGUGUUCUGUCCUGCUCGCAUGGGUGGGUUUGGGAAGAUUCGACCGGUGUGGUUGCUUUUGUGGGGGUUGGGCGGGGGGCGUAUGAGCGCGCUGGAGGGGUGAAGGCCUGCCAAGGGGUUGGCGGGUAGCCGGGCGGAGGGGGGGGGCGGGCCCACUGGGGCUGAGACACGGGCCAGGCUCCGACGGGAGGCAGGAGUGGGGAAUAUGGGACAAGGGGCGGAAGCCUGAGCCAGCCAUGCCGCGUGGGGGAAGGAGGCCUUCGGGUUGUAAAGCUCUUUUGUUGGGAAAGAAAGGCAGCAGUUUUUGUCCGGGGUGUGCGGACGGUAGGCAAAGAAGAAGCACCGGCUAACUUCUG